UGGGGAAUAUUGCGCAAUGGGGGAAACCCUGACGCAGCCACGCCGCGUGUGUGAUGAAGGCCCUCGGGUCGUAAAGCACUGUCGGGAGGGACGAAGUUCUGACGGUACCUCCCAAGAAAGCACCGGCUAACCCUGUGCCAGCAGCCGCGGUAAUACAGGGGGUGCAAGCGUUGCUCGGAAUUACUGGGCGUAAAGCGAGCGCAGGCGGUCUGUUAAGUCGGAGGUGAAAGCCCAGGGCUCAACCCUGGAAUGGCCUUCGAAACUGGCAGACUUGAAUGCAGGAGAGGGUCGCGGAAUUCUUGGUGUAGAGGUGAAAUUCGUAGAUAUCAGGAAGAACACCGGUGGCGAAGGCGGCGACCUGGCCUGACAUUGACGCUCAUGCUCGAGAGCGUGGGGAGCA
rnacentral:rRNA from 1 species